rnacentral:pre_miRNA from 1 species
GGUAUCUUGAUAAUUAUUUGUCUUUGCUGCAUUGAUGUUUUAUGCUUAAUGUAACAAGGACAAAUAAUUAUCAAGAUAUC